rnacentral:rRNA from 1 species
GAAUUUUAUAUUUUUGGUUAUUUUGAAUUGAAUUGGUAGUAGAUAAGUAAAAAUAUUUUAUUGGGAGGAUAAUUAAAUUAAAAUAACUUUAAUAUAAAAAAACCUCUGAUGGGAGUAUUUAAGAUUAAAUAUUUAUAAAAUAGAAUUAAUUACCUUAGGGAUAACAGCGUAAUAUUUUUUGAUAGAUCAUAUUGAUAAAAGUGUUUGC